rnacentral:rRNA from 1 species
UCAAACGAGGAAAGGCUUUACGGUGAUACCUAGGCACCGUAGAGACGAGGUGUGCAGUGGUGUGGAAGGGCGAAGCGAUUAAAUGCUUCUGGAGCGAAAAUAAGCGUAGAUCCGGAUUCCCCGAAUAGGUUAACUCUUUGAACUGCUUAGCGAACGUAUGGCAGGUGAAGAGACAACUCCGGAAGAACGAACAUCUAGUAGCCAGAGGAAAAGAAAAGCAAAAAGCGAUUCUCGUAGUAGCGGUAUGAGCGAAAUGGGAGCAGCCAAAUCGUGAAACGGGUUGUGGGAGAGCAAUAAAAGCGUCGCGCUAGUUGUGGGCGAAGUGGGUGGAGCGUCACCCCAGAUGGCAGAGUCCAGUAGCCGAAAAGCAUCACGGCGUCUCCUGGACCUGAGUAGCAUAAUGGAACUUGUGUGAAUCAGCAAGGACCACCUUUGGUAAGGCUAAAUAAUUUGGGGUGACCUCGAUGAGCAAUAGUAACGGAGGGAAGGGUGAAAGAACUCUUCAUCGGGGAGUGGAAAUAGAACAUGAACCGUAAGCCCCAAGCAGGAGGAGCUCAAUUAAUCAUGCGUCUGUUGAAGAAAUGAGCUAUGACUUACAGGCAGGCUGGCGCAGGAACCCACCGGAGCUGCAUGAAAGAGUCUUCAGGGCAAUUAUCACUGCUGCGGACCUGAACCUGGGUAGAUCUAUCGGCGACUAGAGGAAGCUUGGGUGAAACGGCGGAGGUCCGGAACCGACUGAUGUUGAAAUCAGCGGAUGAGCUGGUUAGGUGAAAUGCCACUGAACCCAGAGCUUAGCUUUGGUUUCUCCCCAUGGAAAUGCGUUGAGGCGCAGCAGUUGACCGACAUCCAGGGCAAAGCACCUGUUUCGGGUGCGUAACGCGAGAGCGGUACCAAAUCGAGGCAAACUCUGAAUACGCAGAUAUGAAUCUCCCCAAAAUAACUGGGGUCAAGGUCGGCCAGUGAGACGGUGGGGAUAAGCUUCACUGUCGAGAGGGAAACAUUCGGAUCACCAGCCAAGGUCUCAAAUGACCACCAGUGAUAAAGGAGGAGGGUGCAGAAAGCCAGGAGGUUUGCUCAGAAGGUGCCAAAUUUGGAAAGAGUGCGUAAUAGCUCACUGGAUCGAGCGCCUUUGCGCCGAAGAUGAACGGGGCGGUGGAUCUACAGCUGUGGGAUGUCAAAAUGCAUCGUAGGGGGAUGUUCCGCCUAGGGGGAAGCACCGCGAUGAGCGGCGGGAGGACGAAGGGAAGCGAGAAUGCCGGCUUAUAACGCGCAACAUUGGUGAGAAUCCACGCCCUGAAAAACCCAAGGGUUCCUUCCAAGGUUCUGUCCACGGAGGGUGAGUCAGGCCUAAGAUCAGGCCGAAAGGCAUGGUCGAGAUUAACACCAGGUGAACAUUCCUGCAUUACCCUGGUUGGUCCUGAGGGACGGAGGAGGCCAGGGUUAAUGAAAGAUGGUUAUCGGUUCAAGAACGCGUGUCCCCUGCUUUUCCAGGGUAAGAAGGGGUGAGAAAUGCCCCGGAGCCAAUGUUCGAGUACCAGGCGCUGCCGGUUAGCGAACGCAAAGAGAUCAUGGUGAAAAGCCUGGGAACGACCUUAACGUGUACCUGUAACCCGAAACCGACACAGGUGGCAGGUAGAUAGUUACCGAAGGAGACAACUCUAAGGAACCGGCAAAAUAGCCCCGUAACUUCGGGAGAAGGGUGCCUCCUCACAAAGCGGCCGGUGACCAGGCCUGGGCGACUGUUUACCAAAACACAGGUCUCCGCAAAGUCGUAAGACCAUGUAUGGGGGCUGACGCCCGCCCAGUGCCGGGGCACAUGGCUGGUGACCUGAUGACAGGGGAGCCAAGGACCGUAGCCCCGGUGAACGGCGUGGCUGCAAUCAUAACGGUCCUAAGGUAGCGAAAUUUUGUCGGUAAGUUCCGACCCGCAAUGAAAGGCGUAAUGAUUCUGGGUAAUCGUCCGGAGAGAGGCCCGUAAAUAGACAGGUCUGGUGAAGAUGCGGACUACCUGCACCUGGGACAGAAAGACCCUAUGAAGCUUCACUGUUCCCCAGAUUGGCUUCUUUGGGCUUUUUCCUACAGCUUAGGUGGAAGCGGUUACGUCUCCUUCCGGGGGCCCGAUUUAUCAGUGAGAUACCACCUGAAGAGCGAGAAUUCUAACCCGCAGGUCAGGACCCGGCCAGGCUUAAGGGAGCCAGUCCAGGUAGACAGUUUCGAGAAGCGCAGGCCUCCCAAAGGUAACGGAGGCGUGCAGGCUCUGGGCUGGACGGAGAUUGGCCUGAGUGCAAAAGGCAGAAGGAGCGAAUUGCAAGACCGCACUCGUCGAGCAGGGAUGCAGUCAUUCUUAGUGAUCCGACGGUGCUGAGGGAAGGCCGCUGCUCAACGGAUAAAGUUACUUCCAGGGAUACCAGGCUUGAUUCUUCCCAAGAGCUCAAGCAUCGACGGGAAGGUUUGCACCUCGAUGUCGGCUUCACCUGGGGUUGUAGAAGUUCCGGUAGUUAGCUGUUCGCCCAUUAAAGUGGUAUGCAGCUGGUUCAGAAACGUCGUGAGACAGCGUCUGGUCCAGCAUCCGGUGUGGGCGUUAGAGCAUUGAGAGGACCUUUCCAGUACGAGAGGACUGCUGACGCACCUCUGGUGUAACAGUUAUCGUGCCCACGGUAAACGCUGGGUAGCCAUGAGCGGAUAACUGGAAAGUUAUCGGCAGUAAGCCCACCCCAAGAUGAGUGCUCUCCUAUUCCGAUCACAGAGCCUCCGGCAGCACAGCCGAGACAGCAACGUAGGUUCUCCGUUCUGGGAUGAGACAUUGUAAAGUUUGAGAAUUCAAGAGAAGGUCACGGUGAGACGAGCCGUCAUCAUUACGAUAGGUGGCCAAGUGGAAGCAGUAUGUAUGCAGCUCGAGGCAUCCGCAACAGACCGGUAGACUUGAACCU